rnacentral:lncRNA from 1 species
UCCAGCUGGCACAGGAUUGACUCCUGGUGGAACCCAACUCAGUGAUCUGUGCAGUGUGGUGUUUUCCAAACUGGCCAAGGUGUCUGCAGGGCCCUCAGAAUUUUCCAAGCAAGAAAAGAUUUGGCUACUUGGAGAAACUUCAUCCUUCUGGAGGUUUGGACUAGUGGCAUCACCUCCAGAAUCUACUUGAAGUGGAUGACACUGACUUCCAUGAACUGUUUUCCUGUGAGUAAUUUCUCCAUUUUAGACAGAGUUAUCCAUGGGAAGGUGAGUCUGAUCAAGCUGCUUGACCAUGAUCAGAACAAUUUGCUUCCCCAUUGCAUCAUCAAACUUUAAUUUAAAAAGCCCCACUUUCUGUCCGUCCCCAUAGCUCCUCCCUCACCCACCAAAAUGAGUCACUUGGGGCAGUGGUGGGCAGAUGAUUUCAGAUAUCCUGAUCUCAAUUCCCUGAUGUCAGUACGUCUGCACAUUCUUUGUUUUUUUUUUUUCAACUUUUAAGUUCUGGAGUACACAUACAGGAUAUGCAGGUUUGUUACAUAAGUAAACAUGUGCCAUCGUGGUUUGCUGCAAAGAUCAUAGCAUUACCUAGGUAUUAAGCCCAGCAUCCAUUAGUUAUUCCUCUUGAAGCUCUCCCUCCCCCAGCUCCCUGCUCCAAGAGGCCCCAGUGUGUGUUGCUUCCCUCUAGGUGUCCAUGUGUUCUCAUCAUCAAGCUCCCACUAAUAAGUGAGAACAUGUGGUAUUUUGUUUUCUGUUCCUGCAUUAGUUUGCUGAGGGUGAUGGCUUCCAACUCCAUCCAUGUCCCUGCAGAGGAGAUGAUCUCAUUCCUUUUUAUGGCUGUAUAGUAUUCCAUGGUGUGUAUGUACCACAUUUUCUUUAUCCAGUUUAUCAUUGAUGGGCAUUUAGGUUGAUUCCAUAUCUUCGCUAUUGCGAGUAGUGCUGCAAUAAACAUAUGCAUGCAUAUAUCUUUAUAAUAGAAUGAUAUAUAUUCCUUUGGAUAUAUACCUACUAAUGGGAUUGCUGGGUCAAAUGGUAUUUCUGCCUCUGGAUUUUUGAAAAAUCACAACACUGUCUUUCACAGUGCAAACCACCGUGAAACUAAUUUACACUCCCACCAACAGUGUAAAAGUUUUCAUUUUUCUCCACAAUCUUGCCAGCAUCUGUUGAUUUUUGACUUUUUAAUAAUAGCCAUUCUGACUGGCAUGACAUGGUAUGUCAUGUAUAUCAUUGUCAUUUUGAUUUGCAUUUCUCUAAUAAUACACUUAUUAUUUAGGAGCUUUUUUUCAUAUAUUUUUUGGCCGCAUGUGUAUAUUUUAAGAAGUGUCUGUUCAUGUCCUUCGCCACUUUUUAACAGUGUUAUUUGUGUUUGUCUUUUAAAUUUGUUUAAGUUACAUGUAGCUUCUGGAUAUUAGACCUUUGUCCAAUAGAUAGAUUGCAAAAAUUGUCUCCCCUUCUGUAGGUUGUCUGUUCACUCUGAUGAUGGUUCCGUUUGCUGUGUGGAAGCUCUUAAGUUGGAUUAAAUUCCAGUCGUCAAUUUCUGCUUUUGUUAUAAUUGCUUUUGGAGAUUUCAUCAUGAAAUCUUUGCCCAUACCUAUGUCUUCAACGGUAUUGCCUAGAUUUUCUUCUAGGGUUUUUAUUUUAAAUUUAUACUUUAAGUUCUGGGGUACAUGUGCAGAAUAUACAGGUUUGUUACAUAGGUAUAAAUGUGCCAUGGUGGUUUGCUGCACCUAUCAACCCAUCAUCUAUAUUAGGUAUUUCUCCUAAUGCUCUCCCUCCUCUAGCCCCCGCUGUGUGUGAUAUGCCCCUCCCUGUGUCUAUGUGUUUUCAUUUUUCAACUCCCACUUAUGAGUGAGAACAUGUGGUGUUUGGUUUUCUGUUCCUGUGUUAGUUUGCUGAGAGUGAUGGUUUCCAGCUUCAUCAUGUCCCUGCAAAGGACAUGAACUCAUCCUUUUUUAUGGCUGCAUAGUAUUCCAUGGCAUAUAUGUGCCACAUUUUCUUUAUCCAUUCUAUCAUUGAUGGGCAUUUGGGUUGGUUCCAAGUCUUUGCGAUUGUGAAUGGUGCCACAAUAAAAAUAUAUGUGUGUGUGUGUGUGUGUGUGUGUGUGUGUCUUUAUCGGAGAAUGAUUUAUAAUCCUUUGGGUGUAUACCCAGUAAUGAGAUUACUGGGUCAAAUGGUAUUUCUAUGACCAGUGAUGAUGAGCUUUUUUUCAUAUGUUUGUUGGCUGUAUAAAUGUCCUCUUUUGAGAAGUGUCUGUUCUGAUGGGGUUGUUCGUUGCUUGUAAAUUUGCUUAAGUUCCUUGUAGAUUCUGGAUAUUAGCCCUUUGUCAGAUGGAUAGAUUGAAAAAAUUUUCUCCCAUUCUGUUUGUUGCCUGUUCACUCUGAUGAUAGUUUCUUUUGCUACAUAGAAGCUCUUUAGUUUAAUUAGACUCCAUUUGUCAAUUUUGGCUUUUGUUGCCAUUGCUUUUGGUGUUUUCUCAUGAAGUCCUUGCCCAUGCCUAUGUCCUGAAUGGUAUUGCCUAGAUUUUCUUCUGUGGUUUUUAGGGUUUUAGGUCUUAAGUCCUUAAUCCAUCUUGAGUUAAUUUUUGUAUAAGGUAUAUGGAAGGAGUCCACUUUCAGUUUUCUGCAUAUGGCUAGCCAGAUUUCCCAACACCAUUUAUUAAAUAGGGUAUGCUUUCCCCAUUGCUUGUUUUUGUCAGGUUUGUCAAAGAUCAGAUGGUUGUAGAUGUGUGGUGUUAUUUCUGAGGCCUCUGUUCUGUUUCAUUGGUCUAUAUAUCUGUUUUGGUACCAGUACCAUGCUGUUUUGGUUACUGUAGACUUGUAGUAUAGUUUGAAGUCAGGUAGAGUGAUGCCUCCAGCUUUGCUCAUUUUGCUUAGGAUUGUCUUGACUAUGCAGGCCAAGACAUACAUUUCAUAUGGAAUUUAAAGUAGUUUUUCCCAAUUCUGUGAAGAAGGUCAAUGAUAGCUUGAUGGGAAUGGAAUGGAAUCAAUAAAUUACUUUGGGCAGUUUGGCCAUUUUCACGAUAUUGAUUCUUCCUAUCCAUGAGCAUGGAAUGUUUUUCCAUUUGCUUGUGUCUUCUCUUAUUUCCUUGAGCAGCUCUUAGCAGUCGUCCUUGAAGAGGUCCUUCACAUCUCUUGUAAGUUGUAUUCCUAGGUUUUUAAUUCUCUUUGUAGCAAUUGUGAAUGGGAGUUCACUCAUGAUUUGGCUCUCUGUUUGUCUGUUAUUGGCAUGUAGGAAUGCUUGUGAUUUUUGCACAUUGAUUUUUUAUCCUGAGAAUUUGCUGAAGUUGCUUAUCAGCUGAGGACACUUUGGGCUGAUACGAUGGGGUUUUCUAAAUAUACAAUCAUGUCAUCUGCAAACAGAGACGAUUUGACUUCCUCUCUUCCUAUUUGAAUACCCUUUAUUUCUUUCUCCUGCCUGAUUGCCCUGGCCAGAACUUCCAAAACUAUGUUGAAUAGGAGUGGUGAGAGAGGGCAUCCUUGUCUUGUGCUGGUUUUCAAAGGGAAUGCUUCCAGUUUUUGCCCAUUUGAUAUGAUAUUGACUGUGGGUUUGUCAUAAGUAGCUCUUAUUAUUUUGAGAUACGUUCCAUCAGUACUUAGUUUAUUGAGAGUUUUUAGCAUGAAGAGGUGUUGAAUCUUGUCAAAGGACUUUUUUACAUCUAUCGAAAUAAUCAUGUGGUUUUUGUCACUGGUUCUGUUUAUGUGAUGGAUUACAUUUAUUGAAUUGUGUAUGUUGAACCAGCCUUGCAUCCCUGGUAUGAAGCCGACUUGAUCAUGGUAGAUAAGCUUUUUGAUGUGCUGCUGGAUUCGGUUUGCCAGUAUUUUAUUGAGGAUUUUCGCAUUGAUGUUCAUCCAGGAUUUUGUCCUGAAAACUUUUUUUCUUGUUUCUCUGACAGGUUUUGAUAUCAGGAUAAUGCUGGCUUCAUAAAAUGAGUUAGGGAGGUUUCCCUCUUUUUCUACUGUUUGGAAUAGUUUCAGAAGGAAUGGUAUCAGCUCCUCUUUGUACUUCUGGUAGAAUUCGGCUGUGAAUCAGUCUGUUCCUGGACUUUUUUUGGUUGAAAGGUUAUUAAUUACUGCCUCAAUUUCACAACCUAUUAUUUGUCUAUUCAGGGAUUUGACUUCUUCCUGGUUUAGACUGGGAGGGUGUAUGUGUCCAGGAAUUUAUCCAUUUCUUCUAGAUUUUCUAGUUUAUUCAUGUAGAGGUGUUUAUAGUAUUCUCUGAUGGUAGUUUGUAUUUCUGUGGGAUCAGUGGUGAUAUCCCCUUUAUCAUUUUUUAUUGUGUCUAUUUGAUUCUUCUCUCUCUUCUUCUUUAUUACUCUGGCUAGCGGUCUAUCUAUUUUGUUGAUCUCAAAAAAACAGGUUCUAGAUUCAUUUAUUUUUGGAGGGUUUUUUGUGCCUCUAUCUCCUUCAGUUCUGCUCUGAUCUUAGUUAUUGUCUUCUGCUAACUUUUGAAUUUCUUUGCUGUUGCUUCUAUAGUUCUGUUAAUUGUGAUGUUAGGGUGUCAAUUUUAUAUCUUUCCUGCUUUCUUUUGUGGGCAUUUACUGCUAUAAAUUUCCCUCUACACACUGCUUGAAAUGUGUCCCAGAGAUUCUGGUACAUUGUGUCUUUGUUCUGAUUGGUUUGAAAGAAUGUCUUUAUUUCUGCCUUAAUUUCAUUAUUUACCCAGUAGUCAUGCAGGUUGUUCAGUUUCCAUGUAGUUGUGCAAUUUUGAGUGAGUUUCUUAAUUCAGAGUUCUAAUUUGAUUUCACUGUGGUCUGAGAGAAUGUUUGUUAUGAUUUCCAUUCUUUUGCAUUUGCUGAGGAGUGUUUUACUUCCCAUUAUGUGGUUGAUUUUAGAAUAAGUGCAAUGAGGUGCUAAGAAGAAUGUAUAUUCUGUUGAUUUGGGGUGGAGAGUUCCAUAGAUGUCUAUUAGGUCUACUUGGUCCAGAGCUAAGUUCAAGUCCUGAAUAUCCUUGUUAAUUUUCUGUCUUGUUGAUCUGUCUAAUAUUGACAGUAUGGUGUUAAAAUCUCCCACUAUUAUUGUGUGGGAGUCUGUGUUUCUUUGUAGGUCUCUAAGAACUUGCUUUAUGAAUCUGGGUGCUCCUGUAUUGGGUGCUUAUAUAUUUAGGAUUGUUAGCUCUUCUUGUUGAAUUGAUCCCUUUACCAUUAUAUAAUGGCCUUCUUUGUCUCUUUUGAUCUUUGUUGGUUUAAAGUCUGUUUUAUCAGAGACUAGGAUUGCAACCCCUGCUUUUUUUUGCUUUCCAUUUGCUUGGUAAAUAUUCCCCGAUCCCUUUAUUUUUAGCCUAUGUGUGUCUUUUUCACAUGAGAUGGUUCUCUGAAUACAGCACACAGAUGUGUCUUGACUCUUUAUCCAAUUUGCCAGCCUGGUGGUGAUGACAAAAUCUCUCAGCAUUUGUUUGUCUGUAAAGGCUUUUAUUUCUCCUUCACUUAUGAAGCUUAGUUUGGCUGGAUAUGAAAUUCUGGGUUGAAAAUUCUUUUCUUUAAGAAUGUUGAAUAUUGGCCCCCCUCUCCUCUGGCUUGUAGGGUUUCUGCAGAGAGAUCCACUGUAAGUCUGCUGGGCUUCCCUUUGUGGAUAAACCAGACUUUCUCUCUGGCUGUCCUUAAUAUUUUUUCUUUCAUUUCAACCUUGGUGAAUCUGACAAUUAUGUGUCUUGGGGUUGCUCUUCUCAAGGAGUAUCUUUGUGGUGUUCUCUGUAUUUCCUGAAUUUGAAUGUUGGGCUUUCCUGCUAGGUUGGGGGAAUUCUCCUGGAUAAUAUCCUGAAGAGUGCUUUCCAACUUGGUUUCAUCACUCCAUCACUUUCAGGUACAGCAAUGAAAUGUAGAUUUGGUGUUUUCACAUAGUCUCAUAUUUCUUGGAGGCUUUCUUCAUUCCUUUUUAUUUUUUUCCUCUAACCUUGUCUUGUCACUUUAUUUUAUUAAGUUGAUAUUCAAUCUCUGAUAUCCUUUCUUCCACUUGAUUGGUUUGGGUAUUGAUACUUGCGUAUGCUUCACGAAGUUCUUGUGCUGUGUUUUUCAGCCCCAUCAGGUCAUUUAUGUUCUUCUCUAAAUUGGUUAUUCUAGUUAGCAAUUUGUCUAACCUUUUCUCAAGGUUCUUAGCUUCCUUGCAUCGGGUUAGAACAUGCUCCUUUAGCUGAGAGGAGUUUGUUAUUACCCAUCUUCUGAAGUCUGUCAAUUCAUCAAACUCAUUCUCCAUCCAGUUUUGUCCCCUUGCUGGUGAGGAGUUGUGAUCCUUUGGAAGAGAAGAGGCAUUCUGGUUUUUGGAAUUUUCAGGCUUUUUGCACUGGGUUCUCCCCAUCUUUGUGGAUUUAUCUACCUUUGGUCUUUGAUGUUAGUGAUCUUCCGAUGGGGUCUCUGACUGAACGUGCUAUUCCUUUUUGCUUGUUAGUAUUCCUUCUAACAGGCCCUUCUGCUGCAGGUCUGCUGGUGUUUGCUGGAGGUCCACUCCAGACCCUGUUUUCCUGGGUAUCACCGGCAGCGGCUGCAGAACAGCAAAGAUUGCUGCCUGUUCUUUCCUCUGGAAGCUUUGUCCGAGAGGGGCACCUGCCAGAUGCCAGCCAGAGCUCUCCUAUAUGAGGUGUAUGUUAGGCCCUACUGGGAGGUGUCUUCCUGUCAGGAUACACGGGGGUGAGCGACCCACUUGAGGAGGCAGUCUGACCCUUAGCAGAGCUUGAACACUGUGCCAGGACAUCUGCUGCUGUCUUCAGAGCCAUCAGGCAGGGACAUUUAACUCUGCUGAAGUUGUGCCCACAGCCACCCCUUCCCCCCAGGUACUCUGUCAGCCCCUGACUUCGACUGCUGCCUUAUUUUCAGAGAUGCCCUGCCCAGAGAGAAGGAAUCUAGAGAGGCAGUCUGGCCACAGUGGACUUGCUGAGCUGUGGUGGGCUCCGCCCAUUUCUAACUUCCCAGUGGCUUUCUUUACACUGUGAGGGUAAAACUGCCUACCCAUGCUUCACCAAUGGCAGACAUCCCUCCCCUCACCAAACUUGAGCUUCCCAGGUCAACCUCAGACUGCUGUGCCUACAGCGAGAAUUUCAUGCCAGUGGAUCUUAGCUUGCUAGGCUCCAUUCAAGUGGGACCCACCAAGCUAUACCACUUGGCUCCCUGGCUUCAGUCCCCUUUCCAGGGGAGUGAAUGGUUCUGUCUCAGUGGCAUUCCAGGUGCCACCGUGUUAUGAAAAAAAACUGCGGCUAGCUCAGUGUCUGCCCAAACGGCUGCCCACUUUUGUGCUUGAAAUCCAGGGUCCUGGUGGUGUAGGCACUGGAGGGAAUCUCCUGGCCUGGGGGUUGUGAAGACCAUGGGGAAAACAGUAUCUGGGUCGGAGUGCAUCAUUCCUCAUGGCGCAGUCCCUCAUGGCUCCCUUUGGGUAGGGGUGAGAAUUCCCCGACGUUUUGCACUUCAAGGGUGAGGCGAUGUCCCACCCUGCUUCUGCUCUCCCUCCAUGGGCUGCACCCACUGUCCAACCAGUCCCAUUGAGAUGAACCAGGUGCCUCAGUUGGAAAUGCAGAAAUCACCACCUUCUGUGUCAGUCUCGCUGGGAGCUGCAGACUGGAGCUCUUCCUAUUCAGCCAUCUUGCCAGAAGUCCUCCAUUUUUUUACAUUGGUAGAGUAUAACCCUCAUUGACAAAAUCAACCUUCUGUCAGAAUAACACCUCAUUCUCUGAGGCAAAUGUACUUGUAACAGGCAUAAUAGAGCAUCUGGCAUGUUAGAAGUGUUGUAGAUCUUGAUGUGAAUGGUGUUUAUGAAAGUUUAUACACGUGUAAAUAUUCAUUAAUGUUUAUACUUAAUAUGAUUGCUCUUAACUGCAUUUAUUUUAUAUUUCAACAGAGCAAAAGAAAACAUGAAAGAACUAGAUAUGCAAAAAAAUAAAAUGACAUACCAAGUAUAGUGGUGCAUGCCUGUAGCCCUAGCUUCUUGGGAAGCUGAGAUGGGAGCAUUGCUUCUGCUUAGGCAUUUGAGUUAUGCCUGGGUAACAUAGGGAGACCCCAUGUCUAAAUAGAAAUAAAAACAAGACACAUAGAGAAGUUUGAGAAUAAAAUAUAGACAACAGAAUAAAACCCCACAUUAACAUAAAUCUUGGAAUUCUCUGAAAGUUGUAUAACAGUAAAUGUUACUACAUAUAUAUAGAAAUAAAUUCAAAGGUAAAUAAUACCAGCAUAACAAUAUAAAAUAUUUUAAAAUAUUAAAUGAACAUUUUGCAACUAAAAAUACACUAACUAUAGCGAAUUGCUUAAUGAAUGGGUUUAAUACCAGAUAUUUCAUAGCUAAAUAAUUCAUAAAUUGGAAAAUAAAUGAGAAAACAACAUACAGUCUUAAGAAAAAAAUAUAGAGAAAAGGCAAUGAAGAAGCUUAUAGAGCUUAGGUUGAAAUUAGACUUCCCAAGGAGAGAUAAGAUAGAAUGGAGAAGAAGCUAUUGAACAGAUAAACACCUGGAAUUUUUCAGAGCAGAUUAAAGAUAUUGGGUUACAUAUUGGAGGAGAACUAUGAGCCUGAAACCAGAUAUAAGAAAACAUGUUUAGGCAGAAAAUAUUCAAAAGACUAUAAAACACAUAUUAAAGAAAGUUCCUAAAAAUUGAAAGAGAACAAAAUGCAUUUCCUUUCAAAGUAACAAUACUAUUGCUAACUUCUAAAUAAAAGCAAUGAAAUUCAGAAGAUGAUAGAAUAAUAUCAUCUAAAUGCUAAAAGGAAAUAACUGCCAGUCUAUAAUACUUUAUCCAGCAAAAAAAAUUCUUUAAUGAUGAAGAAAAGAAAACCAGACAGGACUUCGAUAAGAAAAUACAGGACUUGAACAAUACUAUAAUCAGUUGGACCUAACAGACACAUGCAAAGCACUCCACACAACAGUAACAAAAAACCACAUUUUUCUCAAUGCAUAUGGAAACUUCUCCAAGAUGCAACAUAUGUUAGUAAUAUAUGAGUUUUAAAAAGUUAUUUAGGCAGAUAGUGAGAGCACAGGAGUCCUCAGUAAGGUUUUCCUUUUAAUGAAAAGCAGCCCAAAAUACUUUCUUUUCCUACAAAUAGCAGACUGUAAAAUGACUUGCAGACAUAGAGAAACAAGCUGGAAGCUUGCACUGGUGAAUGCCAUCAGUUGUGCUAAUAAGAAAAGGCUGCCUGGGACUGGGCACAUUCAAAAUGUCAGUUCCAUCUUCCCUUCUCUUUGCCAGCCACAUGUACAGUAAGGAGCAGGGAACAUGGCAUUAGUCAAGCAAAGAUCCCAUUUGCAUAAUAAGACGAUUAGGAUGGGAUGGCCAGCUUCCCCAUGCACUAUGUAAACCUCACCCCUGGUCCAACCAAUCUGUGGGCUCUAUGUAAAUUAGACACUGCUUCCUCAAGCCUGUCUGUAAAAUCUGGUUCACUCUGCCAUGGGGCAGAAUUCUUAUUUGGACGCCCCCUCUCUCACAAGAGAGAGAGCUAUUCUCCUUUCUCUUUCUUUGGAAAUAAAACUUCUACUCCUAAACUCACUCCUUGUGUGUGUCCAUGCCCUUAGACUUCUUGUUGCAAGACGAUGAACCUCAGGUAUUUACCUUAGACAACAAUGCAUCUUCAUACUGGGGGUGUGUCCAGGAUCCCAAGGUACUUUCAUUGGAAUGUUGAAUACAGGAGUGAAACUCAACUCUGUCCUUUCAUUUCAAGGCUCUCAGCCUCCAUUUUAGAAUCAAAUCAUACCAAAUACUGGGCUCCCUUCAGUCAUUUAAAAAUAAUUAGCAUGGCUGCCAGCUUUACAAGACAUGGGGGAGAGGCUUGCUGGGGAAAACAUGUAGAAUCCCCCAGUACCCACACGUUGCUGGGCAUAUUGGCCAUGUUUGAACCAGUUUUCUUUCAGAGGACCUAGCAAUUGAAUGGGGCUGGAAAAAGUUCUGAAGCAACUGAGGAUUUCUGGCGGAAGCUACUCCCUGGUGUUGUUCAAAGGAUUUGGACUGACCUCAUCCUCUGACUGCCUGACAGAGUGUCAGCAACAGGAUCUCCAGCUUUCAUACUAUAAUUUCCUCCAUUCCUGUCUGCAACCACCAUGUCUCCCAUCCUCUCUCUCUUUGUAUGCAAUGCCACAGCAAUUUUACAGUUCAGGGAAGUAAUCUUGUUAGGUAAGAUCAGGAAAUGCCAUAGUAACUGAAGGUGUAGCUCAAGGGAAUGCCGUUGUAAUUUUCUAGGAAUAGAGGGUCCCUCAUCACAGUGAAGUCACUCUCUGCCCUUGGUCUGGAGAGCAUAUGGCAUUUCCAGGUAACACUCUACCCUUGUCUGGAGAGCACAUGGCAUUUGAAGUUCACUCUCUGCCCUUGGUAUGGAGAGCACAUGACAUGUCAUGGUCACCCUGUGCCCUUAGUCUAGAGAUCACAUGGCAUUUCAAGGUCAACAGCGCCACCUAGUGGGAUGGGAAUUCUCUCCAUGAAGCACAUUGUUGGUCCUCUGCCAAAACACUCUAGCCUCCAAAUUCUCCUCCCUUUUUGUGCCCCUCUGCUAGAGACCAGGCUUCAUGCUGCUUCUGUGAACAGGAAAACUCUGCCUUCAACAACAAUUAGGAGUAAAAUGUCCUCCAAAGACAAAGUUGUUUAGUUUCGAUACUGUCCCAUCAACUAGAAAACUGCCAUUUGGUCCCUAUGUUCUUUUAAGGCACCUAUUCUGCCUCCAAUUAAAAUGGUACUGAAAUAGUAAGGGGAUUUUUUUUCUUUUUCUUUUUUAAUUAAAUUAAUUAUACUUUAAAUUCUAGGGUACAUGUGCACAACGUGCAGGUUUGUUACAUAUGUAUACAUGUGCCAUGUUGGUGUGCUGCACCCAUUAACUCGUCAUUUACAUUAGGUAUAUUUCCUAAUGCUAUCCCUCUCCCCUACCCCCACCCCAUGACAGGCCCCAGUGUGUGAUGUUCCCCUUCCUGUUCCAAGUGUUCUCACUGUUCAAUUCCCACCUAUGACUGAGAACAUGUGGUGUUGGGUUUUUUGUUCUUGUGAUUGAUAGUUUGCUGAGAAUGAUGGUUUCCAGCUUCAUCCAUGUCACUACAAAGGACAUGAACUCAUCCUUUUUUAUGGCUGCAUAGUAUUCCAUGGUGUCUAUGUGCCACAUUUUCUUACUCCAGUCUAUCAUUGAUGGACAUUUGGGUUUGUUCCAAGUCUUUGCUAUUGUAAAUAUACGUGUGCAUGUGCCUUUAUAGCAGCAUAAUUUAUAAUCCUUUGGGUAUACGCCCAGUAGUGGAAUGGCUGGGUCAAAUGAUAUUUCUAGUUCUAGAUCCUUUCUGCACAGCAAAAGAAACUACCAUCAGAGUGAACAGGCAACCUACAGAAUGGGAGAAAAUUUUUGCAACCCUCUUGUCUGACAAAGGGCUAAUAUCCAGGAUCUACAGAGAACUCAAACAAAUUUACAAGAAAAAAAACAAACAACCCCAUCAACAAGUGGGCAAAGGAUACGAACAGACACUUCUCAAAAGAAGACAUUUAUGCAGCCAACAGACACAUGAAAAAAUGCUCAUCAUCACUGGCCAUCAGAGAAAUGCAAACCAAAACCACAGUGAGAUACCAUCUCACACCAGUUAGAAUGGCAAUCAGCAAGGGGAUUUCAAGUUUGGAAGUUAAUUGGAACCAUUCUCUAAGGGUAAACGCUUUAACAUGGGCCAUAAUAAGCAGGAUAUAGAGUUCAAUCUAGCAUGCACUAUCCAUUA